rnacentral:lncRNA from 1 species
CCUACUAGAAAUCUUGCAUUGAUCGCAUCGGAUUUUCGCUUUCCAUCCGGAGAGUGUCGGAAUCCAAAAAAAUAGUGAAAGUCCAUUUGCAUCUAUAAAUUUUUAAAGCAAAUAUAAAUUUUAAGUAUAAAUAUCUACCUAGAAUAUCUACUCUCAUAGAUAAACAAUGUCGGCCUCUAACCCACUAGCCCACAUCCUUGAAACCAAUUGAC